AUGCCGCGUGCAGGAAGAAGGCCUUCGGGUUGUAAACUGCUUUUGUACGGAACGAAACGGUCUGCUUUAAUACAGCGGGCUAAUGACGGUACCGUAAGAAUAAGCACCGGCUAACUACGUGCCAGCAGCCGCGGUAAUACGUAGGGUGCGAGCGUUAAUCGGAAUUACUGGGCGUAAAGCGUGCGCAGGCGGUUAUAUAAGACAGUUGUGAAAUCCCCGGGCUCAACCUGGGAAUUGCAUCUGUGACUGUAUAGCUAGAGUACGGUAGAGGGGGAUGGAAUUCCGCGUGUAGCAGUGAAAUGCGUAGAUAUGCGGAGGAACACCGAUGGCGAAGGCAAUCCCCUGGACCUGUACUGACGCUCAUGCACGAAAGCGUGGGGAGCAAACAGGAUUAGAUACCCUGGUAGUCCACGCCCUAAACGAUGUCAACUGGUUGUUGG
rnacentral:rRNA from 1 species